rnacentral:rRNA from 1 species
UACGUAGGGGGCUAGCGUUGUCCGGAAUCAUUGGGCGUAAAGAGCGUGUAGGCGGUCCGGUAAGUCCGCUGUGAAAGUCGGGGGCUCAACCCUCGAAUGCCGGUGGAUACUGUCGGGCUAGAGUGCGGAAGAGGCGAGUGGAAUUCCUGGUGUAGCGGUGAAAUGCGCAGAUAUCAGGAGGAACACCUAUUGCGAAGGCAGCUCGCUGGGACGCAACUGACGCUGGAGACGCGAAAGCGUGGGGAGCAAACAGG